GACGAACGCUGGCGGCGUGCUUAACACAUGCAAGUCGAACGGUAAGGCCCUUCGGGGUACACGAGUGGCGAACGGGUGAGUAACAUGUGGGUGAUCUGCCCUGCACUUCGGGAUAAGCCUGGGAAACUGGGUCUAAUACCGGAUAGGACCACUGCCUGCAUGGGUGGUGGUGGAAAGCUUUUGCGGUGUGGGAUGGGCCCGCGGCCGAUCAGCUUGUUGGUGGGGUAAUGGCCUACCAAGGCGACGACGGGUAGCCGGCCUGAGAGGGUGACCGGUCACACUGGGACUGAGAUACGGCCCAGACUCCUACGGGAGGCAGCAGUGGGGAAUAUUGCACAAUGGGCGCAAGCCUGAUGCAGCGACGCCGCGUGAGGGAUGACGGCCUUCGGGUUGUAAACCUCUUUCAGCUAUGACGAAGCGCAAGUGACGGUAGUAGCAGAAGAAGGACCGGCCAACUACGUGCCAGCCGCCGCGGUAA
rnacentral:rRNA from 1 species